GAUCAUGGCUCAGGACGAACGCUGGCGGCGUGCCUAAUACAUGCAAGUAGAACGCUGAAGGAGGAGCUUGCUUCUCCGGAUGAGUUGCGAACGGGUGAGUAACGCGUAGGUAACCUGCCUGGUAGGCGGGGGAUAACUAUUGGAAACGAUAGCUAAUACCGCAUAACAGUAGAUAUUGCAUGAUAUCUGCUUGAAAGGUGCAAAUGCAUCACUACCAGAUGG
rnacentral:rRNA from 1 species